rnacentral:rRNA from 1 species
CACGUGGGUUAUCUGCCUUUUGGUGGGGAAUAACCCUGGGAAACCGGGGCUAAUACCGCAUAAGUCCGCAAGGAGAAAGUCGCAAGACGCCGAAAGAGGAGCCCGCGGCCGAUUAGCUAGUUGGUGGGGUAAUGGCUCACCAAGGCAAAGAUCGGUAGCCGGCCUGAGAGGGCACACGGCCACACUGGCACUGAAACACGGGCCAG